AACCUUUUCUCCUUAUCCUUUAAUAUCCAAAUCAAAUUUUAUCUCCUCUGUUAAGUUUUCUAUGACUCACCUUAUUCCUAUCAUCCUGCUUGCAUGAACAAAACCAAGUCUGUUUGGGAAUCAGUGACUAGGAAUACUUCUCUUCAAAGUCCAGAGGGAGAAAACUGGUUGGAUGAGUUCAAAGAGACAUUUUAAGGCAAAUAGGUAGAACAGUAGGAAAGUCUUUGUUAAGCAGCCUUAGCCAUCUUAUUGCACAGUGGCUUUGGAUCCAGCUAAAUGAAUAUAAAAGUAAUUACUUUUAUAGAUAUUGGGCUAUUCAUGUAUUCCAUUUCUUCUUCUUUCUUCUAAAGUGAGCUUUAGUGGUUUGAGUCUCAAGGAGUUCGUCAAUUUCACAUAUGUUGUUCAUUAUAUGCCUUUAUCAUUCUUUAAAUGCUGGUGCUAAUGGAAACCAAAUUAAAGAUAAGACUUAUCAAAUGUAUAAGAAACAUAAUCUAAUUUGUUGGAUCUGUAGUGAAGUUCCCUUUUUCAUUUGUAAUAUUGGUUCUAGUGUUCUCUCCCCUUUUUUUCCCCGCUCAUCUGGAUAAAGUUUUAUCAGCAUUAUUAUUCUUUUAAAAGAAACAGUUUUUAAUUUCAUUGAUUUUUUUCUUUUGUUUUUCUCUUUACUCUUUCAGUCAUUUCUGCUCUUAUCAUCAUUAUUUCCUCCUCUUGCUUAUCUUGAACUAAAUUUGCUCUUCAAGUUUUUUAAGAUCAUUGAUUUGAGACCUUUCUUCUUGUCUAAUAUAACCAUUUAAUGUAAUAAAUUUGUUUCUGGGCAUUGCUUUGGCUGCAUCCCACACAUUUUUAUGUUGUAUAUUCAUUUUCACUCAGUUCAAAAUAUUUUCUAAAUUUUCUUGUGAUUUCUUCUGUCAUCCACAGAUUAUUUAGAAUGUGUUCUUUAGAUUCCAAAUAUCUGGGGAUUUUCCAGAUAAUUUUUUAUUGAUUUUUUUUGUUCAAUUCCUGCUCUCCAUCUGGUCCUGAGUUUGAAGCUAGGACUCUGAUCUCUGUCUGGGCUGUGAUGAUGGGUCCCUAUUAGGAUUUAAUCCUAAUCCUUCAUACCCUGAACCUCUUGCCCUUUGGUAGUCUUCAUGGGACUCAUCUGGAUGUGUCUGAUUCUCUGUCUUCUACCUGAUGUGAUAGAGGGAUCAUAAACAACAGUAAAUCUGAUAGGAAAUCAAAUGCAGAUCAAUUAAAAGUCUACCAAAGUGCAUUAAAGGUUUCACAGAAUUUAGAUAAGUAAUAUAAACAGAGUGAACUCCAAAAAUAGUAACUGAGGAAUAGGGCACUGGAUAAGGACCCUUGAAAUAUAUGUAAAUAACAUAUUUUUAUAAAAAUCUAAAUGUAAUUACUUCUUUAUUGAAAAAGAAUAUACUAGAAAAAAUUUCAAUUAAUCUCAAAUGAAGAGUACGUGAAGAAAAACAGCUGAAAUAUAUAGGAUCCAAUGUCUAUCUACACUCCUUAUAAAGUCUUCAGACAGACAUCUUACAUAAUGAAGCACAAACAAACCAAUUCAUAAACACUUCUCUUAAUUUGAAGAAAGUCAUGAUUGAUAUUCAUGGAAUCCAGGCCCUAUUAAAAUAUAUCCUCUUUACAGAAUGGAGCAAAUUACAACAAUCAAGGGAGAUGCUUAAAGAGGCAAUUAAAACACGAGUAUGUUACUUAAUCUGAUUACAGGCAA
rnacentral:lncRNA from 1 species